rnacentral:rRNA from 1 species
UACGAAGGGGGCUAGCGUUGCUCGGAAUCACUGGGCGUAAAAGGGCGCGUAGGCGGCGUUUUAAGUCGGGGGUGAAAGCCUGUGGCUCAACCACAGAAUGGCCUUCGAUACUGGGACGCUUGAGUAUGGUAGAGGUUGGUGGAACUGCGAGUGUAGAGGUGAAAAUUCGUAGAUAUUCGCAAGAACACCGGUGGCGAAGGCGGCCAACUGGACCAUUACUGACGCUGAGGCGCGAAAGCGUGGGGAGCAAACAGG